rfam:Madurella mycetomatis strain mm55 MMYC01_Sc2094, whole genome shotgun sequence.
GGGCGUGUAGCUCAUUUGGUAGAGCGCUCGCUUAGCAUACUCUAGUGUAUGCGAGAGGUACUGGGUUCGAUUCCCAGCUCGUCCA